rnacentral:tRNA from 1 species
GGGGCUGUGGCUCAGUGGUAGAGUGCUUACCUCGAACGCAAGAGGUACUGGGUUCGAUUCUCAGUACCA